rnacentral:tRNA from 1 species
GCGCCCGUAGCUCAACGGAUAGAGCAUCUGACUUCGGAUCAGAAGGUUCGGGGUUCGAAUCCCUGCGGGCGCA